GGCAACAUAGCUCAGCUGGUUAGAGCAUCGGAUUCAUAACCCGAAGGUCGCGGGUUCAAGUCCCGCUGUUGCUA
rnacentral:tRNA from 1 species